rnacentral:rRNA from 1 species
AGAGUUUGAUCAUGGCUCAGAAUGAACGUUGGCGGCGUGGAUUAGGCAUGCAAGUCGAGCGAGAAGUUUCCUUCGGGAAAUGGAAAGCGGCGAAAGGGAGAGUAACGCGUGGAUCAUCUGCCCUCGGAUUCGGGAUAGCUGCGGGAAACUGCAGGUAAUACCGAAUAAUGUCUCCGGACCAAAGGUGAGAUUCCGUCCGAGGAUGAGUCCGCGUCCUAUUAGCUUGUUGGUGGGGUAACGGCCUACCAAGGCGAUGAUGGGUACUGGGUGUGAGAGCACGACCCAGCUCACUGGGGCUGAGACACUGCCCAGACACCUACGGGUGGCUGCAGUCGAGAAUCUUCGGCAAUGGGCGCAAGCCUGACCGAGCGACGCCGCGUGCGGGAUGAAGGCCUUCGGGUUGUAAACCGCUGUCAGAGGGGAUGAAAGGUCGUGGGGUUCUCCCCGCGAUUUGACAGAUCCUCAGAGGAAGUACGGGCUAAGUUCGUGCCAGCAGCCGCGGUAAGACGAACCGUACGAACGUUAUUCGGAAUCACUGGGCUUAAGGGUGCGUAGGCGGUGCGGAAAGUUGGGUGUGAAAUCCCUCGGCUCAACCGAGGAAUAGCGCCCGAAACUACCGUGCUAGAGGGAGACAGAGGUGAGCGGAACUUAGGGUGGAGCGGUGAAAUGCGUUGAUAUCCUAAGGAACACCAGUGGCGAAAGCGACUCACUGGGUCUCUUCUGACGCUGAGGCACGAAAGCUAGGGGAGCAAACGGGAUUAGAUACCCCGGUAGUCCUAGCUGUAAACGAUGAGCACUGGGUUGGAGGGCCCUCCAUAGCCUUCCAGCCGAAGCGAAAGUAUUUAGUGCUCCGCCUGGGGAGUAUGGUCGCAAGGCUGAAACUCAAAUGAAUUGACGG